AUCGCAAAGAGACCAAGAAAGGGUGCAAAGAGACCUAGAACGGGCUAAUUUGGAGAAAGAUAUUAGAGAUAUGUGCCGACGACAAGAAUUAAUCAUGCAACACCUUCAGUUGAGCUCCGCUCAAAGUCAGAAUCCUCCCAAUGACGACGAAGAUGAUGCCUACGAUGAUAACGAUGAUGGUGGUGAUGGUUUUUGAUGAUUUUAAUUAUGGUUGGUGAGGCGAACUAAAGGUCGGAGAAAAAAGCAAAGGAGAUUUGAUGGGGAGCAAAGCUUUUGUGGCAGACAAAGAUG